UACGGGGGGGGCAAGCGUUGUUCGGAAUCACUGGGCGUAAAGGGCUCGUAGGCGGCCAACUAAGUCAGACGUGAAAUCCCUCGGCUUAACCGGGGAACUGCGUCUGAUACUGGAUGGCUUGAGGUUGGGAGAGGGAUGCGGAAUUCCAGGUGUAGCGGUGAAAUGCGUAGAUAUCUGGAGGAACACCGGUGGCGAAGGCGGCAUCCUGGACCAAUUCUGACGCUGAGGAGCGAAAGCUAGGGGAGCAAACGGG
rnacentral:rRNA from 1 species